CAAUAAGCGGAGGAAAAGAAACCAACAGGGAUUGCCUCAGUAGCGGCGAGUGAAGCGGCAAGAGCUCAGAUUUGAAAUCGUGUUUCGGCACGAGUUGUAGAGUGUAGGUGGGAGUCUCUGCGGAGCACAGUGUCCAAGUCCCUUGGAACAGGGCGCCUGAGAGGGUGAGAGCCCCGUGGGGUGCUGUGCGAAGCUUUGAGGCCCUGCUGACGAGUCGAGUUGUUUGGGAAUGCAGCUCUAAGCGGGUGGUAAAUUCCAUCUAAGGCUAAAUAUUGGCGAGAGACCGAUAGCGAACAAGUACUGUGAAGGAAAGAUGAAAAGCACUUUGAAAAGAGAGUGAAACAGCACGUGAAAUUGUUGAAAGGGAAGGGUAUUGGGCCCGACAUGGGGAGUGCGCACCGCUGUCUCUUGUAGGCGGCGCUCUGGGCGCUCUCUGGGCCAGCAUCGGUUCCUGCUGCGAGAGAAAGGGUUCCGGAAAGUGGCUCUUCGGAGUGUUAUAGCCGGGGCCAGAUGUCGCGUGUGGGGACCGAGGACUGCGGCUUCUUCUCGGAUGCUGCACA
rnacentral:rRNA from 1 species